GUCAAGGUGGUGGAGUGGUUAACACGUUCGCCUGCUAUUCGAGCCGUUCGGAAAGUCAGCGGAUGCCUUCUGGGCGCGCAGGUUCGAAUCCUGUCCUUGACG